GAUGAACGCUGGCGGCGUGCCUAAUACAUGCAAGUCGAGCGAACAGACGAGGAUCUUGCUCCUCUUACGUUAGCGGCGGACGGGUGAGUAACACGUAGAUAACCUACCUAUAAGACUGGGAUAACUUCGGGAAACCGGAGCUAAUACCGGAUAAUAUGUUGAACGGCGUGGUUCAAUAGUGAAAGACGGUUUUGCUGUCACUUAUAGAUGGAUCCGCGCCGCAUUAGCUAGUUGGUAAGGUAACGGCUUACCAAGGCAACGAUGCGUAGCCGACCUGAGAGGGUGAUCGGCCACACUGGAACUGAGACACGGUCCAGACUCCUACGGGAGGCAGCAGUAGGGAAUCUUCCGCAAUGGGCGAAAGCCUGACGGAGCAACGCCGCGUGAGUGAUGAAGGUCUUCGGAUCGUAAAACUCUGUUAUUAGGGAAGAACAAAUGUGUAAGUAACUAUGCACGUCUUGACGGUACCUAAUCAGAAAGCCACGGCUAACUACGUG
rnacentral:rRNA from 1 species